GUAGGUGAACCUGCGGAAGGAUCAUUACUGAGACUGGGUGCUUCGGCGCCCGACCUCCAACCCUUUGUCUACCUUACCACUGUUGCCUCGGCGGCCGCGGCUUUAAGUAGUCGCUCCGCCGAUGGCCUACAACCAAAACUCUUGUUUAAACACCGUUUAUCUGAGAAUAAAAACAAUAACUUCAAAACUAUUAACAACGGAUCUCUUGGUUCUGGCAUCGAUGAAGAACGCAGCAUCUGACUGACUUCGC
rnacentral:misc_RNA from 1 species